CCUACGGGAGGCAGCAGUGAGGAAUAUUGGUCAAUGGACGCAAGCCUGAACCAGCCAUGCCGCGUGAAGGAAGACGGCUCUAUGGGUUGUAAACUGCUUUUGUACGAGGGUAAACGCAGAUACGCGUACCUGUCUGAAAGUAUCGUACGAAUAAGGAUCGGCUAACUCCGUGCCAGCAGCCGCGGUAAUACGGAGGAUUCAAGCGUUAUCCGGAUUUAUUGGGUUUAAAGGGUGCGUAGGCGGUCGGAUAAGUUAGAGGUGAAAUCUCGAGGCUCAACUGUGGAAUUGCAUUUGAUACUGGGCGGCUAGAGUGUAGUUGCGGUAGGCGGAAUGUGUGGUGUAGCGGUGAAAUGCUUAGAGAUCACGCAGAACACCGAUUGCGAAGGCAGCUUACUAAGCUACUUCUGACGUUGAGGCACGAAAGCGUGGGGAGCAAACAGGAUUAGAUACCCUUGUAGUC
rnacentral:rRNA from 1 species